rnacentral:tRNA from 1 species
GGGGGUAUAGCUCAGCUGGGAGAGCAUCUGGAUGGCAUUCAGAGGGUCAGCGGUUCGAUCCCGCUUACCUCCA